AAAAAAGAAAUUAGUAUUUUUGUGAAGAAACGAAAAUAAUUACGCAAGACGAGAAGACCCUGUCGAGCUUAAGAAAAUUUUUAUAAGAGCCUAAUAAAAAUUAGCUAAUCUUUAUAUUUACUAAAAAACUAAAUAAAAAUAUCUUUGGUUGGGGCAACCACGAAGAAAAAAAAACCUUCGUCCUUUUUAAAAAAUUAACAAAUUUAAAAAUUUUAACUAUAAAAACAAAAGACCCAGAACAUACUGAGCAAAGAAAAAAGUUACCGCAGGGAUAACAGCGUUAUUCUCUUUAAGAGUCCGUAUUGACAAGAGAGUUUGCGACCUCGAUGUUGGACCGGGGCACCUUAGAGGUGCAACAACCUCUAAAAGUAGGUCUGUUCGACCUUUAAAGCCCU
rnacentral:rRNA from 1 species